rnacentral:rRNA from 1 species
UACGAAGGGGGCUAGCGUUGUUCGGAUUUACUGGGCGUAAAGCGCACGUAGGCGGAUCGAUCAGUCAGGGGUGAAAUCCCAGAGCUCAACUCUGGAACUGCCUUUGAUACUGUCGAUCUGGAGUAUGGAAGAGGUAAGUGGAAUUCCGAGUGUAGAGGUGAAAUUCGUAGAUAUUCGGAGGAACACCUGUGGCGAAAGCGGCGCACUGGACCAUAACUGACGCUGAGGCGCGAAAGCUAGGGGAGCAAACAGG